CCUGGGCGCCAAAGUGAGACUGUCUCAAAAAAAAAAAAAUAUUGGUGACAGGUCUCAGAGGGUCCUUAAGUCCUUUAGCAUGGCACCAGUCAAGGUUUCUUUCCAGGUGGUUCUUAAUUGAUUGGUCAGUACCUGUAGGGUACCAUACAAUGUUUUAACCUGGAAAGCCUCUAUUUUAUAGCUAGAAAUAAGUGCCCUAUUUAUGGGCACCCAUAGCACCUGUGAACACCUGUGCUACACUAUUUGUGACAUUAUAUUUUAAUAUCAUGUAUCUGUCAGUAUGGGGCUGCCAUUUUAUUCAUCACCAAGGUCUCAACAUUGAGCACAGUGUAUUGCAUGUGACUGACACUCAAUAAACAAUGUUCAGUGACCUAACCUGCAUGAUUUCUAUGGACUUUCCAAACACCCAGGCUAUUUGAUAAAUUUUGAGGGUUAAAAUAUAAAAUUUAGCCCUUCUGACAGUUCUCAGGUCUGCAGCCAGUUUAGCUCUACGUGGUUAGGAACUGGGUCCCACAUUUUUGUGUUGGUGUUGGCUCCACAGAAUCAUACACUUAGGUCUUUGGAGCACUUCCUGAUAUGUCACAGGAGUUAUCAGUGUCUUCAGAUCAUCUCAGAGAUUCCACAUAUGAUGCAGUGAAAUCAGGAGAGAAGAGAUGUGUAACCUCCUUAUCACUGAUCUCCAGUUUCAUUGGCAGGACAUGUAGAAAGAGCCUGGAAUUUGAGAAUAGAACUCUGGUUAACAGUUAUACUAAAUAUAAUAAAAAACUACAAUUUAUUUUGGGAAAGCUCAUUGAAAGAGAAAUAAGAAAAAAAAUCUUCUUUUAAUGUAAACCAUCUUGAGAUAUUUAUAGUUUUUCAUUCUGUCCCCACAUGUUUUGCCUUCUUCUUUGAUUAACUAAACUAUGAGUACCACAGAUACUCAUUUUUGAAAUUUGCUUUCAUUAAUUCCUCUCCAUCUUUUUUUUUUUUUUUUUUAAAGGUAUCCAAGUUUCUAUCAGUUUGGCAAAAAUACUUGGCAACAUUUACUGGGAUUUUUGAACAUCCCACAUCCAGUUCUGUGUUAGGGAUUUAGGGAUUUCAUAGCUAUUAUCCUAUUUAAUCCUCAUCUAUAAGAUGCAGGCAGUGAAAAUGUGAAGAUCUGAGUGGUGUGAAAUGAAGUCACUUUCAGAGAAAACGUUUUGCUGAAAUUGAGGGUGAGCUACAUGUGCCUAAGUCAUACAUAGAAAGUAGAAGACCUGUCCAGGGGACACACAGCCCCGCAAUGUCCCCCCACCACCCAAAAAGGCAACUGGAAGAUGAGAGAAGAAUGCAAAGUGCGUGGAAUCAGCUAUGUACAUAGUGACUAUAAGUCACAACACUGUGUUUUGGGGCUACAGUCAUAAAGAUCAAGAUAGAAAA